AAGGCCUUAGUUUAAUUAAAACAUUUGAUUUGCACUCAUAAAAUGCAAGGUAGAGUCUUGUAGGUCUUA
rnacentral:tRNA from 2 species